GUGAUCGCCGGGCUGCGGGGCGGAGGAUGGUGACGGAGCGCGCUCGGGGCGGGAUGUGCGCGCACGUGGCCCCUUCCGAGGGCUGUCUGUGUUUUCGAUGUUGGCUGGAAGUGUGUGUGCGCACGUGGUUGGCUGCUCCCGGCUGCCUGUUUCUCUUGUGUUUUGCCGUGUGUGUGGAUCUGUGAGUCUGUGGGUGUUGGCUGCGUGUGCACGUGCGCUGCCUGUUUGGAAGGCGUGCGCGUCUCCGGGGUCUGUUCCGGUGGCCUGGGGGCUGCGCUCUCUGUGCCCACGCGCUUGGCUGUGCAGUGUUCAGUUCGUGCUUGCAGAGUUGUGCACGCGAUUCGGCCUCCGUCGUCUGACUGUGACCUGUACUCCAAUCCUGCCUCACACUUCUUGGCUGUGCAACCUUGGGCAAAGUCACCCAGCAGCUCUGGGCCUCAGUUUCCUGAUCUGUAAGACGGUGAUACCAUUCAGACCUAACCUACUGAGGCUGUGAGGACGAAGGGUACGAGCAAGAAAUGCAUACAAAGUUCUGAGCACAGAGCCUGGUCCACAGCAGGGGUGGAAUGCAGGGCUUUGUCAUGUCAGCAAGUGACCUACCACUGAGCCGCACCUGCUUCGAUGGGGUAGUGGUAUUGAACUCUUUCCUUCCCUGCUGGACCCCGGGAGACCUAGGACCAUGCUGGGAUACAGUAGAUGUUCAACCAAUAGCUCUUGGGUGUCGGGAACGAGGAUAGGUGCUCUGAGAUUAUGGAAUGAAAAAGUGGACAGCACAAGAGCCCCUCAGGCCAGGACACAGGCGGAGACACCCACCCACCACUGCUCAGAGAAACGGGAGCCUUCACAGCCAUCAGCCCGGGCGGAAACCCAGGCUCUGAGCCACCCUGCCGGUCUGAUCGGUUGCUGCAGCCCUGAGAAGUCUGGACACAGCCUGGCAUGCUUAGCAUCUACUGGGGGAAUAACGCAGGAAAUAAACUAAAAACAAACAAAUAGAUAAAUGAAGUCAAGGUAAGCUCGGCACAUACGACCUCCCUGAAUCAGUGUCAUU